UUCACUUUAAAAAUGGCUACGGCAAAUACUAACAGUAAGUGUCACGCUGUAAUUGCUUUUAAGGAACGUUGUCUUGACGGUGCUGCCGAAUUAUAGCCACACGUCUUCGAAGAAGACGCGUUGCUAUGGCGUCGAAUGGUUUAACGCGACGUUUUUUUUUUCUUUCUUUCUUCAAAUGACAGUUCCAACUAUGACUAACCGAGAACGAGUGUAUGAGGAGCACGACGUGGACCCGCAGAAGAGCGCUGGCCUCUUCAAAGAAGGGGGGGGGGAACACGUAUUUCAUUCAUUGGUUUUCCACUUUUUUUUGUCAACUUUUUUUCACUCCACGUUGAUAAUAAAGUUGUGUAUAAAGAGA